CCUACGGGGGGCAGCAGUGAGGAAUAUUGGUCAAUGGACGAGAGUCUGAACCAGCCAAGUAGCGUGAAGGAUGACUGCCCUCUGGGUUGUAAACUUCUUUUAUAUGGGAAUAAAACGUUCCACGUGUGGGAUUUUGUAUGUACCAUAUGAAUAAGGAUCGGCGAACUCCGUGCCAGCAGCCGCGGUAAUACGGAGGAUCCGAGCGUUAUCCGGAUUUAUUGGGUUUAAAGGGAGCGUAGGUGGAUUGUUAAGUCAGUUGUGAAAGUUUGCGGCUCAACCGUAAAAUUGCAGUUGAAACUGGCAGUCUUGAGUACAGUAGAGGUGGGCGGAAUUCGUGGUGUAGCGGUGAAAUGCGUAGAUAUCACGAAGAACUCCGAUUGCGAAGGCAGUUCACUGGACUGCAACUGACACUGAGGCUCGAAAGUGUGGGUAUCAAACAGGAUUAGAUACCCUUGUAGUC
rnacentral:rRNA from 1 species